rnacentral:rRNA from 1 species
UCCGGAUUGGAGUCUGCAACUCGACUCCAUGAAGUCGGAAUCGCUAGUAAUCGUAGAUCAGCAUGCUACGGUGAAUACGUUCCCGGGCCUUGUACACACCGCCCGUCACACCAUGGGAGUGGGUUGCAAAAGAAGUCGGUAGCUUAACCGCGAGGGGGGCGCUGACCACUUUGUGGCUCAUGACUGGGGUGAAGUCGUAACAAGGUAACCGUAGGGGAACCUGCGGUUGGAUCACCUCCUUACCU